AAAACACUAACGAACGCUGGCGGCAUGCCUAACACAUGCAAGUCGAACGAUGCCUUCGGGCAUAGUGGCGCACGGGUGCGUAACGCGUGGGAAUCUGCCCCUGGGUUCGGAAUAACAGCGAGAAAUUGCUGCUAAUACCGGAUGAUGACGAAAGUCCAAAGAUUUAUCGCCCAGGGAUGAGCCCGCGUAGGAUUAGCUAGUUGGUGAGGUAAGAGCUCACCAAGGCGACGAUCCUUAGCUGGUCUGAGAGGAUGAUCAGCCACACUGGGACUGAGACACGGCCCAG
rnacentral:rRNA from 1 species